ACUGUGUGUAUUGUAAGCUUGAGUUCAGUAUGGAGAUGUGGAGGCUCCAGCUGCUUGAUGGGAGUUGGGAGAUGGGCCUGGUCCCACCUGGAGUUGCCAAAGGUUAUUUAAAAGAACAGUGGGCUAGUGGCCAAGGAGGAUCCUUCACUAUUGGUGGUCUUGAGGAACAUAAGGCUGCCAAGUAGGUGAAGCUAAGCAGGAGUGGGUCCGGUAAGUGCCUGGAUGGUGGACCCCAUGGAAGUCAUACAUAUGUCGCCUUGAGAUCCAUGGUGGAAGAGUGAGUGGGGUAUAAAUGUAAGAAAAUGUUUGUAGACUACUGUGCUGUCACUUGGAGAUAGGCUGGAGAAAGGAGGAAGGAGAAAGGAGGAGGAACAUGGGUGAAGAAAGCUCGACUCCUUUCUGUCUGAGGUCUGGGGAAGAUGCGGGUGACACGGUGGUCUAAACCACUGAGCCUCUUGGGCUUGCUUAUCAGAAGGUUGGCGGUUCGAAUCCCCAUGACAGGGUAAGCUCCCGUUGCUCUGUCCCAGCUCUUGCCAACCUAGCAGUUUGAAAGCACACCAGUGCAAGUAGAUAAAUAGGUACCGCUGCAGCAGAAAGGUAAAGGGUGUUUCCAUGCACUCUGAUUUGCAUCACGGUGUCCCAUUGCACCAGUAGUGGUUUAGUCAUGGUGGCCACAUGACCCAGAAAGCUGUCUGUGGACAAACGCCUGCUCCCUCGACCUGAAAAUGAGAUGAGUGCCGCAACCCCAUAGUUGCCUUUGACUGGACUUAACCGUCCAGGGGUCAUUUACUUUUACCUUUACCUAGGGAGGAAGGGCAAGUGCUGACCAGAGCAGGCCCAGACCCUAACCUACCCCACACCCUGAAGCAAUAUGGAGAACUGAAAUGGGCUGUUCAAGAGCUGAAAAGACUAACUAUUAACUAUGAUUUCUUCCAGAUAGUGAAGCACCAUCCGCAUGGCAUCUUUUCAGAAUCAUUAAAAGCACCUUCAUUUAUCA